AUUGAACGCUGGCGGCAGGCCUAACACAUGCAAGUCGAGCGGAAGAAGGGAGCUUGCUCCUGGAUUCAGCGGCGGACGGGUGAGUAAUGCCUAGGAAUCUGCCUGGGCGUGGGGGAUAACGUCCGGAAACGGGCGCUAAUACCGCAUACGUCCUGCGGGAGAAAGUGGGGGAUCUUCGGACCCCACGCUAUCAGAUGAGCCUAGGUCGGAUUAGCUAGUGGGUGGGGUAAAGGCCUACCUAGGCGACGAUCCGUAACUGGUCUGAGAGGAUGAUCAGUCACACUGGAACUGAGACACGGUCCAGACUCCUACGGGAGGCAGCAGUGGGGAAUAUUGGACAAUGGGCGAAAGCCUGAUCCAGCCAUGCCGCGUGUGUGAAGAAGGUCUUCGGAUUGUAAAGCACUUUAAGUUGGGAGGAAGGGCAGUAAGUUAAUACCUUGCUGUUUUGACGUUACCAACAGAAUAAGCACCGGCUAACUUCGUG
rnacentral:rRNA from 1 species